CGCGGCCUAUCAGCUUGUUGGUGAGGUAACGGCUCACCAAGGCAUCGACGGGUAGCUGGUCUGAGAGGACGGUCAGCCACACUGGGACUGAGACACGGCCCAGACUCCUACGGGAGGCAGCAGUAGGGAAUCUUGCGCAAUGGGGGAAACCCUGACGCAGCAACGCCGCGUGUGGGAUGACGGCUUUCGGGUUGUAAACCACUUUCAGUGAUGACGAAAAUGUCGGUAAUCACAGAAGAAGGUCCGGCCAACUACGUGCCAGCAGCCGCGGUAACACGUAGGGACCGAGCGUUGUCCGGAUUUAUUGGGCGUAAAGAGCUCGUAGGCGGUUCUGUAAGUCGGAUGUGAAAACUCAGGGCUCAACCCUGAGACGCCAUCUGAUACUGCAGUGACUUGAGUCCGGUAGAGGAGUGUGGAAUUCCUGGUGUAGCGGUGAAAUGCGCAGAUAUCAGGAGGAACACCAGCGGCGAAGGCGGCACUCUGGGCCGGUACUGACGCUGAGGAGCGAAAGCAUGGGGAGCAAACAGGAUUAGAUACCCUGGUAGUCCAUGCCGUAAACGUUGGGCACUAGGUAUGGGACCAUAUCAACGGGUUCCGCGCCGUAGCUAACGCAUUAAGUGCCCCGCCUGGGGAGUACGG
rnacentral:rRNA from 1 species